rnacentral:rRNA from 1 species
UACGUAGGGUGCAAGCGUUGUCCGGAUUUAUUGGGCGUAAAGAGCUCGUAGGCGGUUAGUCACGUCGGAUGUGAAAACCCGGAGCUUAACUCCGGGCCUGCAUUCGAUACGGGCUGACUAGAGUGUUGUAGGGGAGACUGGAACUCCUGGUGUAGCGGUGAAAUGCGCAGAUAUCAGGAAGAACACCGGUGGCGAAGGCGGGUCUCUGGGCAACUACUGACGCUGAGGAGCGAAAGCGUGGGGAGCAAAC